CAGCCGCGUAAUUCCAGCUCCAAUAGCGUAUAUUAAAGUUGUUGCAGUUAAAAAGCUCGUAGUUGAAUUUCGAGAUCAAAUUGUUGGUCGUGCCUCGGUACGUACUGGCAUUAUUGAUUUCUCCCUUCUGAAGAACCAUGAUGUCAUUAAUUUGGUGUCUUGGGGAAUCAGGACCGUUACUUUGAAAAAAUUAGAGUGUUUAAAGCAGGCUCACGCUUGAAUACAUUAGCAUGGAAUAAUGAAAUAGGACGUUUGAUUCUAUUUUGUUGGUUUCUAGGAUCGACGUAAUGAUUAAUAGGGAUAGUUGGGGGCAUUAGUAUUCAAUUGUCAGAGGUGAAAUUCUUGGAUUUAUUGAAGACUAACUACUGCGAAAGCAUUUGCCAAGGAUGUUUUCAUUAAUCAAGAACGAAAGUUAGGGGAUCGAAGACGAUCAGAUACCGUCGUAGUCUUAACCAUAAACUAUGCCGACUAGGGAUCGGAUGAUGUUAAUUUUUUAAUGACUCAUUCGGCGCCUUACG
rnacentral:misc_RNA from 1 species